GAUGAACGCUGGCGGCGUGCCUAAUACAUGCAAGUCGAGCGAACGGACGAGAAGCUUGCCUCUCUGAUGUUAGCGGCGGACGGGUGAGUAACACGUGGAUAACCUACCUAUAAGACUGGGAUAACUUCGGGAAACCGGAGCUAAUACCGGAUAAUAUUUUGAACCGCAUGGUUCAAAAGUAAAAGACGGUCUUGCUGUCACUUAUAGAUGGAUCCGCGCUGCAUUAGCUAGUUGGUAAGGUAACGGCUUACCAAGGCAACGAUGCAUAGCCGACCUGAGAGGGUGAUCGGCCACACGGGAACUGAGACACGGUCCAGACUCCUACGGGAGGCAGCAGUAGGGAAUCUUCCGCAAGGGGCGAAAGCCUGACGGAGCAACGCCGCGUGAGUGAUGAAGGUCUUCGGAUCGUAAAACUCUGUUAUUAGGGAAGAACAUAUGUGUAAGUAACUGUGCACAUCUUGACGGUACCUAAUCAGAAAGCCACGGCUAACUACGG
rnacentral:rRNA from 1 species